UUUUGUAUUCUCGGGUGAAUAUCCUCCUGUGCUGCUCUUUUGUCUGCCUGCGCCAUAGUCCCGAGAACCCCUAGGAUGAGGUACCUUCUUCGGAUGCUUAGGAAUAUGGGUGCAUUUUGUGUGCUGAAUCUGAACCUGACAGCCUUAAACUGGCAUCUCCAAACACAAGUGUCUACAGGGCGGUGUGCCCUCAGUGGAUUCUUAGGAAUAUGGCUUCUGGAUCUACUCCGACCAUAAUCCCGAAGACCAAUAGGGCAGAAUACCAUCUUCGGUCAAUCAGGAAAAUGGCUGUUGGGUCUUCAUCUACUCUGCUUCGACCAUGAUCCCGAAGACAAAUAGGGCGGGAUACCCUCUUCGGUCAAUCAGGAAAAUGGCUGUU
rnacentral:lncRNA from 1 species